UACGUAGGGAGCGAGCGUUGUCCGGAAUUACUGGGCGUAAAGGGCGCGUAGGCGGGGAUUUAAGUUAGAUGUGAAAACUCCGGGCUCAACCUGGAGACUGCAUUUAAAACUGGAUUUCUUGAGGGCAGGAGAGGAAAGUGGAAUUCCAAGUGUAGCGGUGAAAUGCGUAGAUAUUAGGAGGAACACCAGUGGCGAAGGCGACUUUCUGGACUGUACCUGACGCUGAGGCGCGAAAGCGUGGGGAGCGAAC
rnacentral:rRNA from 1 species